UCGGAUGUGGUGCACGGCGCACACCCGCUUGCGCUUUUCGCUCCACAUCAGUAAGCGGGAAGCCUGGGUUCGACUCCCAGCAUCCGAA